rfam:Hordeum vulgare subsp. vulgare, WGS project CAJW01000000 data, contig: morex_contig_367979
AAGAUACUACCUUCGUCCUAAAAUUCUUGUCUAAGAUUUAUCUAGAUAUGAAUAUAUCUAAUACUAAAACGUGACUAGAUACAUCCAUAUUUAAAAAAAUCUAAGACAAGAAUUUUAGGACGGAAGGAGUAUAUG